rnacentral:rRNA from 1 species
UGGGGGAUAUUGCACAAUGGGGGGAACCCUGAUGCAGCGACGCCGCGUGAGUGAAGAAGUAUUUCGGUAUGUAAAGCUCUAUCAGCAGGGAAGAAAAAGGUGCCCGUUGGGCGCCUGGACGGUACCUGAUUAAGAAGCCCCGGCUAACUACGUGCCAGCAGCCGCGGUAAUACGUAGGGGGCAAGCGUUAUCCGGAUUUACUGGGUGUAAAGGGAGCGUAGACGGCGCAGCAAGUCUGGAGUGAAAGCCCGGGGCCCAACCCCGGGACUGCUUUGGAAACUGCGGUGCUUGAGUACGGGAGGGGCAAGUGGAAUUCCUAGUGUAGCGGUGAAAUGCGUAGAUAUUAGGAGGAACACCAGUGGCGAAGGCGGCUUGCUGGACCGUGACUGACGUUGAGGCU